AUGUCGUCGAUCGGUAAGUGGAUCUUUCCUCCGUACAGUUCUAGCAGAUUGCUCAUUCUUUGGGAGUUCGCCGACAGUUUUGAAAGCCCAGAUCUGGCCCCUCUGGCAUUGUUAACGCCAGACCAAACCAACCCUGCCAUUCAGGCGGACUCGAAUGCUGCUCUGGAUGCGGGCAAUAAGUUGGCGUCGGCGGGCCGGGGAGGCCGCACUGUGGCGAGCGGUGGCGUCGGGAGGCAUCUCCGACUGUCCGCGCAGCCAACUGACAGGGUCAACCCAAAGGCGCUUGGUUGGACAAAGAGGUUACGCCGUAAUGCGCCACCUGACCGGACACCAUGUCCUUCUAGGAUGAGUGCACUAGAGCAGUCAAUUGGCAAAUGUGCAGAAGAGACUGCGAAAAGUGGGAAGCCGGAGGCGGAGAAUAGUAGAUCUUGUAGAUGCGAGUGCCCUGCAUUGAGAAGGCUCUUGCCGGCAGCUGAUAACAGUUCAUACAUGACAGAGCACUGUGGUGACACCCGAGCAAGAAUAGAGGUUCAGUUCCCGGACACGUCGAGCUUGGGGUCGACAGCGAGCGCUUGGAGCACGAACUUGACGCCGGAGCAAGGAGGCCAUGGCAUCGACGACGUGAGCGGAAAUAUUGGUUCUGUUGUGCUGUCUGUUGGUCUUCCGAACUUGGAGAGCUUUGCCCGUACGCUGCCGCCGCUUCCGAUCGCUGCUGCCGCGCGUGCCAUCUUCCGCGCCGCCGCCGCAUGCUGCUCUAUCCGCGUCGCCGCUGCGAUGUCAUCCUCCGCUAUGUCCGUCGGCCAAACUGACAGCGCCCUCGUCUCUUUCCCCGUCGCCACGAUCCCCGCCGCGCUCGCCGUCCCGACGAUCUCCGACCACCUCGGUUGCCACAACUUCAUGCUCUGGGGGGGGGGGGGCAUCACCAGCAUCGUUCUUGCCGGUGCCAACCUCCAUGGACACCUCGAUGGCACCAAGGCGGCACCGGCCAAAACACUCAUUGUCGGCACCGGCGACGCUGCCACUACCAUCAUCAACCCGGAGUACCACCAAUGGUGGGUUCAAGAUCAGCGCGUCAAGGGGCUUCUUCUCACCUCCAUGGAUGAGGAUAUUGCAUGCCAACUCAUUGGCUACGAGUCGGCGCAUGUGGUGUGGACAGCCAUCGCCGCCAUGUUCGGCGCCCAGAGCAGCGCCUAUGUCCGCCACAUCCGGCAACAACUUCAGUCACUGAGGAAGGACGAUCUAUCCGCCGCGGAAUACAUGCACAAGAUGAAGGCCCUAGCCGACACUAUGGUCACCCCGGCUCUCCGAUCCGUGAUGAUGAGCUUAUCGAUCACAUCCUCACCGGCCUUGGCUCUGCCUACAACUCCGUCGCCGCCUCCUUGGGCGUGA
rnacentral:rRNA from 1 species